rnacentral:rRNA from 1 species
GACGAACGCUGGCGGCGUGCCUAAUACAUGCAAGUAGAACGCACAGUUUAUACCGUAGCUUGCUACACCAUAGACUGUGAGUUGCGAACGGGUGAGUAACGCGUAGGUAACCUGCCUGGUAGCGGGGGAUAACUAUUGGAAACGAUAGCUAAUACCGCAUAAUAUUGAUUAUUGCAUGAUAAUUAAUUGAAAGGUGCAAUUGCACCACUACCAGAUGGACCUGCGUUGUAUUAGCUAGUAGGUGAGGUAACGGCUCACCUAGGCGACGAUACAUAGCCGACCUGAGGGGGUGAUCGGCCACACUGGGACUGAGACACGGCCCAGACUCCUACGGGAGGCAGCAGUAGGGAAUCUUCGGCAAUGGACGAAAGUCUGACCGAGCAACGCCGCGUGAGUGAAGAAGGUUUUCGGAUCGUAAAGCUCUGUUGUAAGAGAAGAACGGGUGUGAGAGUGGAAAGUUCACACUGUGACGGUAUCUUACCAGAAAGGGACGGCUAACUACGUG